UGGGGAAUCUUGCGCAAUGGGCGAAAGCCUGACGCAGCGACGCCGCGUGGGGGAGGAAGCUUUUCGGAGUGUAAACCUCUGUCAGGGGGGAAGAAUGGGCCGGGGAGGAAAUGCCUCGGUUUUGACGGUACCUCCAAAGGAAGCACCGGCUAACUCUGUGCCAGCAGCCGCGGUAAUACAGAGGGUGCGACGUUGUUCGGAAUUACUGGGGCGUAAAGCGCGCGCAGGCGGUCCUUUAAGUCUACCCGUGAAAUGCCGGAGCUCAACUCCGUGCACGCCGGGGGAUACUGGGGGACUGGAGACAUGUAGUGGCAAGCGGAAUUCCGGGUGUAGCGGUGGAAUGCGUAGAUAUCCGGAAGAACACCUGAGGCGAAGGCGGCUUGCUGGGCAUGAUCUGACGCUGAGGCGCGAAAGCGUGGGGAGCAAACA
rnacentral:rRNA from 1 species